rnacentral:rRNA from 1 species
UACAGAGGGUGCAAGCGUUGUUCGGAAUUAUUGGGCGUAAAGCGCGUGUAGGCGGUUUUGCAAGUCGGGUGUGAAAGCCCUCGGCUCAACCGAGGAAGUGCGCCCGAAACUGCAGAGCUUGAGUACCGGAGAGGAUGGCGGAAUUCCCCAAGUAGAGGUGAAAUUCGUAGAUAUGGGGAGGAACACCGGUGGCGAAGGCGGCCAUCUGGACGGAUACUGACGCUGAGACGCGAAAGCGUGGGUAGCAAACAGG